AUGGCUGAGGGAUAUGAACAAGUAAUUCAUGAAGGAAAUGUGUUUCUGGAUACCGGAUGUAAUCUUGGCUGGGGCCGCGAAUUAUCUGCCUGGAGGUUGAGGAAGCCAGAUGGGGUAAGGAGCACCCGUGAUCACUUCGGAAAGGACUUCUUUACCCUUUGCCAUCCUAAGGAAUGCAGUGUCCCCAGCACCUCUGGUCAGCCCUGGGGAGAAACGGGAAUGUCUCCAAGGAACAUCAUCGCCAUCUUCCCUCCUGUGGGCCUUUCCCUCACCGCAGCUCUGCCCUGCUGUGGUGUGGUGCCAAGUGUGCUCCCUGGCACAGUUCUUCCUCUCUGGGCUCUAGGGAACCACACUGGGUUUGGUACUGGCCCGUCAUUGCACUCUGAGCCAUUGUGACUGAGGGGACUGGGCCAAACUGCCUCUACUAGGCUCCAGUGCCCAGGUUCUGGGACGGAAGGACCACCCCACGUCUAAGUACUGGAAAUAGGCUCGCGCAGUAGAGAACAUUAGAGUCGCUUAAUGGCAACAGCUUGAGAGCUGCUGAGGGAGCACUAGGAGAAACGAAAGGUCCUUGAUGUACCUGCAUUUGCUAUCACUGUGGAGACCAAGUCCUUCCUGAAGGAGCUCUGGUGUUUGACAGCUCAUGAAUGUUUUGUCUUUCCUCCCUCCCCUUUCUUCUCUGGGAAGCCAGACAUCGUCCUCCCAGCUGAAUUUUUGUAACUGCCUGAGGAAGUGGCUGCUGAAUAUUCUUUCAGCUUUAUUUCCCUUUCUUCUGUAUCCAAAGCAGCAUUUAGGCUCCAGUCAGUGGUGUGGAAAUGACAGGAUUCUCAUGACAGGAUGGGAGGCUAAGGACCCGGCAAGUUUCAUUAGCGGUGGGUCAGGGCCCUCCAGGAGGAGCUGGAUGGGAGUUCAGUUAGGCUUUGCUGGAGAGGAGCGUGCUCUACGGACUGGGCUCCCUGGGCGCCGAGGGCAGCUGCCUCUUGCCUGCACAUUUUCUCCAUCCAGGAUAUGUCCUUGAGAACCCACUAUCCAGAGUUGCAGCCACUGGUUUGAGGUGCAGAGCUCCUGGUGGGUGCGGAAAUGCCGGGGUGUAGAAGCCAGAUGCCUGUGCUACAAGGUGGGCAUGUAUGUGGGCUUCGGAUAGGAAAAACUGAGACCAAUUAUGCUAUUUCUUCUUUGGGCUCUGGCUCAGGAGGCUUCCUGGUACAGAUGGCUUGCUGGGAAGGAGUAGACUCUUAGUCCCUCUCCAUGUUAGGCCUUGUGUCCCUGCAUGGUCACACGGUGGGGCGGGGGGAGUGUGUGUGUGUGUGAGAGAGAGAGAGAGAGAGAGAGAGAGAGAGAAACAGAUGGGGAAAAAGUGAUAGAACUAGAGAUACUCUGAGAAAGAGAGAUUUAUACUAUAUGUGAAUUAAUUCAGUCAAAUGAAUUUUUGCCAUAUGUUUGUCAGGUAAGAGCUUAUAUAUUAUGCAAACUCUAUUAAUCAGAGUCUAAGCUAACUUCUGAUAAAAUUGCUUAGUUUGUUUCUGAAAUCAAAGAGCGUUCUCCAAACCAUCUUAUUGGUAACUGUGCUAUUCUUGGGGACAGUUGUGUUAAAGCCAAGGAAUUCAGAACAUCUGCCUCCCACCUAUCCAGCCCCAACCCCCCACCCUCCCUGAAAUUUUCUCUGGGAAAGCACAGCCAAAUGGAACACAUGGAAAAUAAAUGGCUAAAACCACAUGUUUGGCA
rnacentral:lncRNA from 12 species